CAGGUAGCCUAGUGGUUAGAGGAGGCAGGUAGCCUAGUGGUUAGAGGAGGCAGGUAGCCUAGUGGUUAGAGGAGGCAGGUAGCCUAGUGGUUAGAGGAGGCAGGUAGCCUAGUGGUUAGCGGAGGCAGGUAGCCUAGUGGUUAGCGGAGGCAGGUAGCCUAGUGGUUAGCGGAGGCAGGUAGCCUAGUGGUUAGCGGAGGCAGGUAGCCUAGUGGUUAGCGGAGGCAGGUAGCCUAGUGGUUAGCGGAGGCAGGUAGCCUAGUGGUUAGCGGAGGCAGGUAGCCUAGUGGUUAGAGGAG